UAGUAUCAGGAAGUAGAGGAAGAAAUGGAAUGGACCUUACAGGUAGAAGACAAAAACAUCUGAGGUAGUAUCAGGAAGUAGAGGAAGAAAUGGACCUUACAGGUAGAAGACAAAAACAUCGGAGACUUGUGACUUACAUCUAAAAUGAGUCUCUCUG